rnacentral:tRNA from 1 species
AUCUGUAUAGUUUAAAUAAAACAUUAAUCUUGUAAAUUAAAUAUAGAAUCACUGCUUACAGAUG